rnacentral:rRNA from 1 species
UGCCUUAGUACGGCGAGUGAAGCGGCAAAAGCUCAAAUUUGAAAUCUGGUACCUUCGGUGCCCGAGUUGUAAUUUGGAGAGGGCAACUUUGGGGCCGUUCCUUGUCUAUGUUCCUUGGAACAGGACGUCAUAGAGGGUGAGAAUCCCGUGUGGCGAGGAGUGCGGUUCUUUGUAAAGUGCCUUCGAAGAGUCGAGUUGUUUGGGAAUGCAGCUCUAAGUGGGUGGUAAAUUCCAUCUAAAGCUAAAUAUUGGCGAGAGACCGAUAGCGAACAAGUACAGUGAUGGAAAGAUGAAAAGAACUUUGAAAAGAGAGUGAAAAAGUACGUGAAAUUGUUGAAAGGGAAGGGCAUUUGAUCAGACAUGGUGUUUUGUGCCCUCUGCUCCUUGUGGGUAGGGGAAUCUCGCAUUUCACUGGGCCAGCAUCAGUUUUGGUGGCAGGAUAAAUCCAUAGGAAUGUAGCUUGCCUCGGUAAGUAUUAUAGCCUGUGGGAAUACUGCCAGCUGGGACUGAGGACUGCGACGUAAGUCAAGGAUGCUGGCAUAAUGGUUAGAUGC